rnacentral:rRNA from 1 species
CAAAGGAGGCGACUCCGGAGACGGAUGGGCAUGCGUGACAUUAGCUAGUUGGCGGGGUAACGGCCCACCAAGGCGACGAUGUCUAGGGGUUCUGAGAGGAAGGUCCCCCACACUGGUACUGAGACACGGACCAGACUCCUACGGGAGGCAGCAGUGAGGAAUAUUGGUCAAUGGGCGAGAGCCUGAACCAGCCAAGUCGCGUGAAGGAUGACGGCCCUACGGGUUGUAAACUUCUUUUGUCAGGGAGCAAUUGAGUCCACGUGUGGGCUUAGCGAGAGUACCUGAAGAAAAAGCAUCGGCUAACUCCGUGCCAGCAGCCGCGGUAAUACGGAGGAUGCGAGCGUUAUCCGGAUUUAUUGGGUUUAAAGGGUGCGUAGGCGGAAUAUCAAGUCAGCGGUAAAAAUUCGGGGCUCAACCCCGUCGUGCCGUUGAAACUGAUGUUCUUGAGUGGGCGAGAAGUAUGCGGAAUGCGUGGUGUAGCGGUGAAAUGCAUAGAUAUCACGCAGAACUCCGAUUGCGAAGGCAGCAUACCGGCGCCCAACUGACGCUGAAGCACGAAAGCGUGGGUAUCGAACAGGAUUAGAUACCCUGGUAGUCCACGCAGUAAACGAUGAAUGCUAAUUGUCCGG